AGGGCACCACCAGGAGUGGAGCCUGCGGCUUAAUUUGACUCAACACGGGGAAACUCACCAGGUCCAGACACAAUAAGGAUUGACAGAUUGAGAGCUCUUUCUUGAUUUUGUGGGUGGUGGUGCAUGGCCGUUCUUAGUUGGUGGAGUGAUUUGUCUGCUUAAUUGCGAUAACGAACGAGACCUUAACCUACUAAAUAGGGUUGCUGGCACUUGCUGGUUAACUCUUCUUAGAGGGACUAUCGGUUUCAAGCCGAUGGAAGUUUGAGGCA
rnacentral:rRNA from 1 species